UCUCUGGUGGUCCAACGUUAAGACUCUGUGCUUCCACUGCAGGGGACACAGGUUCGAUCCCUGGUCAGGGAA
rnacentral:tRNA from 1 species